UACGUGAGGGGGCUAGCGUUGUCCGGAUUUAUUGGGCGUAAAGAGCGUGUAGGCGGCCAGGUAGGUCUGCUGUGAAAACUCGAGGCUCAACCUCGAGACGUCGGCGGAAACCAUCUGGCUAGAGUCCGGAAGAGGAGAGUGGAAUUCCUGGUGUAGCGGUGAAAUGCGCAGAUAUCAGGAAGAACACCCGUGGCGAAGGCGGCUCUCUGGGACGGUACUGACGCUGAGACGCGAAAGCGUGGGGAGCGAACAGG
rnacentral:rRNA from 1 species